rnacentral:rRNA from 1 species
UACGUAGGUGGCAAGCGUUGUCCGGAUUUAUUGGGUUUAAAGGGUGCGUAGGCGGUUCUAUAAGUCAGUGGUGAAAUACGGCAGCUCAACUGUCGAGGUGCCAUUGAUACUGAAGAACUUGAGUACAGACGAGGUAGGCGGAAUUGACGGUGUAGCGGUGAAAUGCUUAGAUAUCGUCAAGAACACCGAUAGCGAAGGCAGCUUACUAGGCUGUAACUGACGCUGAGGCACGAAAGUGUGGGGAGCGAACAGG